GGAUUAGAUACCCUGGUAGUCCACACCGUAAACGAUGAGAACUAGCUGUUGGGGCUCGUAGAGUUUCAGUGGCGCAGUUAACGCAUUAAGUUCUCCGCCUGGGGAGUACGGUCGCAAGAUUAAAACUCAAAGGAAUUGACGGGGGCCUGCACAAGCGGUGGAGCAUGUGGUUUAAUUCGAAGCAACGCGCAGAACCUUACCAGCCCUUGACAUCCCGGUCGCGGACUCCAGAGAUGGUCUCCUUCAGUUCGGCUGGGUCCCGCACAGGUGCUGCAUGGCUGUCGUCAGCUCGUGCCG
rnacentral:rRNA from 1 species